rnacentral:rRNA from 1 species
GCUUACGACCAUACCACGUUGAAACUACGCCAUCCCGUCCGAUCUGGCAAGUCAAGCAACGUUGGGCCCAGUUAGUACUUGGAUCGGAGACGGCUUGGGAAUCCUGGGUGCCGUAAGCUUUU